ACACUCCUGCGGGAGGCAGCAGUGGGGAAUUUUGGACAAUGGGCGAAAGCCUGAUCCAGCAAUGCCGCGUGAGUGAAGAAGGCCUUCGGGUUGUAAAGCUCUUUUGUCAGGGAAGAAACGGUGAGAGCUAAUAUCUUUUGCUAAUGACGGUACCUGAAGAAUAAGCACCGGCUAACUACGUGCCAGCAGCCGCGGUAAUACGUAGGGUGCAAGCGUUAAUCGGAAUUACUGGGCGUAAAGCGUGCGCAGGCGGUUUUGUAAGGCUGAUGUGAAAUCCCCGGGCUCAACCUGGGAAUUGCAUUGGAGACUGCAAGGCUAGAAUCUGGCAGAGGGGGGUAGAAUUCCACGUGUAGCAGUGAAAUGCGUAGAUAUGUGGAGGAACACCGAUGGCGAAGGCAGCCCCCUGGGUCAAGAUUGACGCUCAUGCACGAAAGCGUGGGGAGCAAACAGGAUUAGAAACCCUAGUAGUCCCAUGA
rnacentral:rRNA from 1 species